UACGAAGGGGGCUAGCGUUGCUCGGAAUUACUGGGCGUAAAGCGCACGUAGGCGGAUUGUUAAGUCGGGGGUGAAAUCCUGGAGCUCAACUCCAGAACUGCCCUUGAUACUGAGGAUCUUGAGUUCGGGAGAGGUGAGUGGAACUGCGAGUGUAGAGGUGAAAUUCGUAGAUAUUCGCAAGAACACCAGUGGCGAAGGCGGCUCACUGGCCCGAUACUGACGCUGAGGCACGAAAGCGUGGGGAGCAAACAGG
rnacentral:rRNA from 1 species